rnacentral:rRNA from 1 species
AACGAACGCUGGCGGCGUGCCUAACACAUGCAAGUCGUGCGAGAAAGUUCCUUCGGGAGCGAGUAAAGCGGCGCACGGGUGAGUAACACGUAGGUAACCUGCCCCCCAGUCUGGAACAACUAGAGGAAACUCUAGCUAAUGCCGGAUGAGACCACGAUCCCUUCGGGGGGUUGCGGCCAAAGAUGGCCUCUACUUGUAAGCUAUCGCUGAGGGAUGGGCCUGCGGCCAUUAGCUUGUUGGUGAGGUAACGGCUCACCAAGGCUGUGAUGGCUAGCUGGUCUGAGAGGAUGACCAGCCACACUGGGACUGAGACACGGCCCAGACUCCUACGGGAGGCAGCAGUAGGGAAUAUUGCGCAAUGGGCGAAAGCCUGACGCAGCGACGCCGCGUGGGUGAUGAAGGCC